rnacentral:rRNA from 1 species
AGAGUUUGAUCAUGGCUCAGAUUGAACGCUGGCGGCAGGCCUAACACAUGCAAGUCGAGCGGUAGAGAGAAGCUUGCUUCUCUUGAGAGCGGCGGACGGGUGAGUAAUGCCUAGGAAUCUGCCUGGUAGUGGGGGAUAACGUCCGGAAACGGACGCUAAUACCGCAUACGUCCUACGGGAGAAAGCAGGGGACCUUCGGGCCUUGCGCUAUCAGAUGAGCCUAGGUCGGAUUAGCUAGUUGGUGGGGUAAUGGCUCACCAAGGCGACGAUCCGUAACUGGUCUGAGAGGAUGAUCAGUCACACUGGAACUGAGACACGGUCCAGACUCCUACGGGAGGCAGCAGUGGGGAAUAUUGGACAAUGGGCGAAAGCCUGAUCCAGCCAUGCCGCGUGUGUGAAGAAGGCCUGAGGGUUGUAAAGCACUUUUAAUCGGGAGGAAUAGCGGUCGGUUAAUACCCGGUCGUCUGACAUUACCGAUAGAAAAAGCACCGGCUAACUCCGUGCCAGCAGCCGCGGUAAUACGGAGGGUGCAAGCGUUAAUCGGAAUUACUGGGCGUAAAGCGUGCGUAGGCGGUUGGUUAAGUCAGAUGUGAAAGCCCCGGGCUUAACCUGGGAACGGCAUUUGAAACUGAUCGACUAGAGUUGGGUAGAGGGGAGUGGAAUUUCAGGUGUAGUGGUGAAAUGCGUAGAUAUCUGAAGGAACACCAGUGGCGAAGGCGGCUCCCUGGACCCAAACUGACGCUGAGGCACGAAAGCGUGGGUAGCAAACAGGAUUAGAUACCCUGGUAGUCC